rnacentral:ncRNA from 1 species
CCAAAUGCGAUGAAGAGGACAAGUAGAUCAGGAAACGCCGUUCAGAGAACUGCCGGUUGGUGCGAGGCAGCGGAUAUCCGAAUCAAAAAUCACCUCAGAGCUGGCCUCCGAACUAUAGUAGAUGGGCCCGGGAUUCUACCGUUACAAAGAAGCAUCGUUGUUGGACGAUGGCUAAAGAGGGCGUUUAUUAUAAACGUCAAUCAGGGUGGUAACGCGGAGCAACUCCGUCCCUAAU